GACGAACGCUGGCGGCGUGCCUAAUACAUGCAAGUUGAGCGCUGAAGGUUGGUACUUGUACCAACUGGAUGAGCAGCGAACGGGUGAGUAACGCGUGGGGAAUCUGCCUUUGAGCGGGGGACAACAUUUGGAAACGAAUGCUAAUACCGCAUAAAAACUUUAAACACAAGUUUUAAGUUUGAAAGAUGCAAUUGCAUCACUCAAAGAUGAUCCCGCGUUGUAUUAGCUAGUUGGUGAGGUAAAGGCUCACCAAGGCGAUGAUGCAUAGCCGACCUGAGAGGGUGAUCGGCCACAUUGGGACUGAGACACGGCCCAAACCCCUACGGGAGGCAGCAGUAGGGAAUCUUCGGCAAUGGACGAAAGUCUGACCGAGCAACGCCGCGUGAGUGAAGAAGGUUUUCGGAUCGUAAAACUCUGUUGGUAGAGAAGAACGUUGGUGAGAGUGGAAAGCUCAUCAAGUGACGGUAACUACCCAGAAAGGGACGGCUAACUACGUG
rnacentral:rRNA from 1 species